GAUAAAAACUGAGUGGCCACGAGCCUCCGGGGCAAAUCAAUGUUUGAAAAACGGGGUUUUUUUUUCAUUUUGCUCAAAUACGUCCAAUACUUCAACUGGGCAUUCUUAAUUUCUUUAUUUGCCCAUUCAGGGAUAUAUUCAGAUCAUAGCUCUCGACCAAUGAAAUUGCUUAAAUUCUUCCGGCUAUUAUAUAGUAUUAUAAAUAAGACGUUCACCACAUAGAAAUGAAAGAAUGUCGACAACUCAUUCAUUGUGAGUCAUUUGAUAAUAUGGUGUUGUUGUAGAUGAAGAUUAUUUUGAUGAAAUUAUAGAGUGACUUUCUUUAGACAUGCUUUCAAGAACUGUAAAUACAAUUUAACAUCGUGGGAAUAGGUUUUGUAUGGUGUUAAAAAUUCACAUGUAUUAAAACACCAUUUGGGUUUUAUGGUCAUUAGUUGAAAUAUGUGAGAGAUCAUUUUUGUACGUUUAUUAUGUACAUAUGACCUUAAAGACAGAAAAUGUUAUAUACUGUCAACAAUUCCCGUAUGUAAAAACAUCAUGACGUCAUGUCAAUAACUAUGAUGAAAAUAAAUAAAACUUUUACGAUUUUGA